CGGUGACAGGUGUUGCAUGGCUGUCGUCAGCUCGUGUCGUGAGAUGUUGGGUUAAGUCCCGCAACGAGCGCAACCCUCGCCUCUAGUUGCCAUCAUUAAGUUGGGCACUUUAGAGGGACUGCCAGUGAUAAGCUGGAGGAAGGUGGGGAUGACGUCAAGUCCUCAUGGCCCUUAUGGGUUGGGCUACACACGUGCUACAAUGGCGGUUACAAUGGGAAGCGAAAGGGUGACCUGGAGCAAACCCUCAAAAGCCGCCUCAGUUCAGAUUGCACUCUGAAACUCGAGUGCAUGAAGUUGGAAUCGCUAGUAAUCGCGUAACAGCACGACGCGGUGAAUACGUUCCCGGGCCUUGUACGCACCGCCCGUCACACCAUGGGAGUUGGUUUCACCUGAAGUUGGUAUGCUACCGAAAGGAGGCAGCCACC
rnacentral:rRNA from 1 species